rnacentral:rRNA from 1 species
CCUACGGGCGGCUGCAGUGGGGAAUAUUGGACAAUGGGGGCAACCCUGAUCCAGCCAUGCCGCGUGUGUGAAGAAGGCCCUCGGGUUGUAAAGCACUUUCAGUGAGGAAGAACGCCUGGUGGUUAAUACCCAUCAGGAAAGACAUCACUCACAGAAGAAGCACCGGCUAACUCCGUGCCAGCAGCCGCGGUAAUACGGAGGGUGCGAGCGUUAAUCGGAAUUACUGGGCGUAAAGCGCGCGUAGGUGGCUUGAUAAGCCGGUUGUGAAAGCCCCGGGCUCAACCUGGGAACGGCAUCCGGAACUGUCAAGCUAGAGUGCAGGAGAGGAAGGUAGAAUUCCCGGUGUAGCGGUGAAAUGCGUAGAGAUCGGGAGGAAUACCAGUGGCGAAGGCGGCCUUCUGGACUGACACUGACACUGAGGUGCGAAAGCGUGGGUAGCAAACAGGAUUAGCUACCCCAGUAGUC